GCCGGGAUGGCGAAAUUGGUAAACGCACAGUCUUGAGGAGGCUGCGCCGAAAGGCUUGGAGGUUCAAGUCCUCUUCCCGGCACAA
rnacentral:tRNA from 1 species